rnacentral:rRNA from 1 species
UACGGGGGGGGCACGCGUUGUUCGGAAUUACUGGGCGUAAAGGGCUCGUAGGUGGCCAACUAAGUCAGACGUGAAAUCCCCCGGCUUAACCGGGGAACUGCGUCUGAUACUGGAUGGCUUGAGUUCGGGAGAGGGAUGCGGAAUUCCAGGUGUAGCGGUGAAAUGCGUAGAUAUCUGGAGGAACACCGGUGGCGAAGGCGGCAUCCUGGACCGACACUGACGCUGAGGAGCGAAAGCCAGGGGAGCAAACGGG